rnacentral:lncRNA from 1 species
CUGGAGCAUUGGCCUGCAUGUGGUUAGGAAGCCCGUGUGGCUGGAGCACUGGGUGUCAGAGUAGAAGAGCAGGUUGGGAGCCACCUUGAGCACUGGCUUCCACUGAGUGAGCUCAGGAGGAUAGUUUGUGUUUGUGGGCUAUGGGAAUGUGACAGGCUAUCAACUCCUGAACACACUUUGAAGGUAGGCCAGCAGGGUCUGCAGAUGCGCUGAAGAGAGAAAAGCCAGCAAUCACUAACAGCAGGAUUGGGACUGGACCCUGUUGUUGUCACUGACUGGAGGGCGAAGAGAAGCACACAGGCUAGCCAGGCAAGGACCAGAAGGGCUGUGCUUGUGCAACGGGGCUCUUCAACCAACCAGCUGUUCUCAUCGGCACCUGCCUUUGUGCCUGCCACAAGUCCCUGUGGUGAUUUGGAAACAGGCUGGCUUUCAGGUUUUAGUCUAGAGUGUUGUUCUAGGGAAGUCUCUUACCUGAUGUCUGCAGAGCUGAAGUCACUUGUCCAGUUUGCAAAUCAGUUGCUUGUUCGUACGGAGUUGAGUCUUCCUGAGAAACUGCAACAGAGGCACUCAGUGUUCUUGUCUGCCGAACUGCUGGUCUGCUCCUACUCAGAGCUGUCCUCAGUAUCCAGAAUAGCCCUGCAGGUCCAGCCCUCUCUGCAACCAGAGAACCUUGUUUUGAAUCUCAAAGGUGGGCCAGUGAGAUGGCCUGCCAAGGAAGGGCCCUGCCACCAAAAUAUGAGUUUGAUCCCUGGGCCUCACACGGUGGAAGGAGAGAACCGACUCCUGCAAGUUGUCCUAUGACCUCCAUGUUUGUAUAUUGGCACACGCCCCCUCCACAAAUAAAUAUAAUUAAAUCUUAAAGGUACCCUGAGACUUUUGUAUAAUAAACAACUGUUGUUUUUCAAAUCUCA